rnacentral:rRNA from 1 species
GACGAACGCUGGCGGCGUUGCUUAACACAUGCAAGUCGAGCGGAGAUAUAUUGAAGAUUCGUCGGAUAUAUAUCUUAGCGGCGACGGGUGAGUAACGCGUGGGCAAUCUGCCUCAUACAGGGGGAUAACACUGGGAAACUAGUGCUAAUACCGCAUAAAAUAAUGAAGUGGCAUCACUUUAUUAUCAAAGGAGCAAUCCGGUGUGAGAUGAGCCCGCGUCCGAUUAGCUAGUUGGUGGGGUAACGGCCUACCAAGGCGACGAUCGGUAGCCGAACUGAGAGGUUGAUCGGCCACAUUGGGACUGAGACACGGCCCAGACUCCUACGGGAGGCAGCAGUGGGGAAUAUUGCGCAAUGGGGGAAACCCUGACGCAGCAACGCCGCGUGAAGGAUGAAGGUUUUCGGAUUGUAAACUUCUUUGAUGAGGGGCGAUAAUGACGGUACCUCAAAAACAAGCCACGGCUAACUACGUG